UUGGCGGCCGUGCGCGUCUCGGUGCACUGCACUCAAGGGGCGAGGGCGAGGCACCUUGCUUGCGGUCAUGCGUUUCCAGAUUCCAUGGGUUCAUCAGUCCGGCAGGCUUCGUCCCGGGGAGCAGCUUUUAUCGAGAUCUGCGCUGGAGCAAGAUGCAUUGCACCGGAUGCGUUGCGCUUUCAUAAUUGGAGCUCAAAUUCACGGAUGCUUUCCGUCCCGUGCGUGGCGUGGGCGCCGACCGAGUGGAGGAUGGCGCGUAAAAGUGCGUGCCGGAGCGAUGGCUUUGGCGUGGACUGCGGACCAUACGUGCGGCACUGCUGUGCUGCUGGUGGCUGGACUCUGCUGCGCAGGCGCCCAAAAGAUCCCAUCAGGGAAGGGAAAACAGAAACAAGAGGAGCAGAGGCGCAGAGCACGUAUGGCGUCGAUAUCCAAGUUUUCAACCCGCGGGUUGUCUGGAUCUGUCUCCUACUCGCCUUCUUCAGCUUUCGACUGUCGACUCUUUCAGAUCCACCCCCCGCUCACAAAGCUCGUGCGGCGCAGUGGCGGGCAGCCAACCGGGAGCGCCAGCGCCUGCGCCUCCACCUCCACCGACGGGAUUCUCUUGCUUGA
rnacentral:misc_RNA from 1 species